rnacentral:rRNA from 1 species
CCUACGGGAGGCAGCAGUGGGGAAUAUUGGGCAAUGGACGAAACUCUGACCCAGCAACGCCGCGUGAAUGAUGAAUGCCUUCGGAUUGUUAAGCUUUUUUUUUAGGGAAGUAGAGAGUGAUGGUACUUUAGUUAUAAGUCUCGCCUAACUAUGUGCCAGCAGCCGCUGUAAUACGUAGGCGGCGAGCGUUAUCCGGAUUGAGUGGGUGUAAAGGGUGCGUAGGUGGAUGGGCAAGUUAGUAGCGAAACUACGAGGCUCAACCUUGGAAGUGCAGCUAAUACUGUUGGACUUGAGUGCAGGAGGGGCAGGCGGAAUUCGUGGUGUAGCGGUGAAAUGCGUAGAUAUCAGGAGGAACACCGACGGCGAAGGCAGCCUGCUGGACUGAAACUGACGUUGAGGCUCGAAAGCGUGGGGAGCAAACAGGAUUAGAUACCCCUGUAGUC